GAUGAACGCUGGCGGCGUGCCUAAUACAUGCAAGUCGAGCGAACGGACGAGAAGCUUGCGUCUCUGAUGUUAGCGGCGGACGGGUGAGUCACACGUGGAUAACCUACCUAUAUGACUGGGAUAACUUCGGGAAACCGGAGAUAAUACCGGAUAAUAUUUUGAACCGCAUUGUUCAAAAGUGAAAUACGGUCUUGCUGGCACUUAUAGAUGGAUAUGGGCUGCAUUAGCUAGUUGGUAAGGUAACGGCUUUCCAAGGCAACGAUGCAUAUCCGACGUGAUAGAGUGGUAGCCCGCCCUGGAGGGUGAACGCGGACAUGGGUCCUACGGGAGGCAGCAGUAGCGAAUCUUCCGCAGUGGGCGAGAGCAUGGCGGAACGGCGCCGAGUGAGAGGUGGAGGUCUUGGGAUCGUGAAACUCUGUUAUUAGGGAUGAACAUAUGUGUAAGUAGCUGUGGACAUCUUGACGGUAACUGGUCAGAAAGCCACGGCUAACUACGUG
rnacentral:rRNA from 1 species